ACACGUGGGUAACCUGCCUGUAAGACUGGGAUAACUCCGGGAAACCGGGGCUAAUACCGGAUGGUUGUUUGAACCGCAUGGUUCAAACAUAAAAGGUGGCUUCGGCUACCACUUACAGAUGGACCCGCGGCGCAUUAGCUAGUUGGUGAGGUAACGGCUCACCAAGGCAACGAUGCGUAGCCGACCUGAAAGGGUGAUCGGCCACACUGGGACUGAGACACGGCCCAGACUCCUACGGGAGGCAGCAGUAGGGAAUCUUCCGCAAUGGACGAAAGUCUGACGGAGCAACGCCGCGUGAGUGAUGAAGGUUUUCGGAUCGUAAAGCUCUGUUGUUAGGGAAGAACAAGUACCGUUCGAAUAGGGCGGUACCUUGACGGUACCUAACCAGAAAGCCACGGCUAACUACGUGCCAGCAGCCGCGGUAAUACGUAGGUGGCAAGCGUUGUCCGGAAUUAUUGGGCGUAAAGGGCUCGCACGCGGUUUCUUAAGUCUGAUGUGAAAGCCCCCGGCUCAACCGGGGAGGGUCAUUGGAAACUGGGGAACUUGAGUGCAGAAGAGGAGAGUGGAAUUCCACGUGUAGCGGUGAAAUGCGUAGAGAUGUGGAGGAACACCAGUGGCGAACGCGACUCUCUGGUCUGUAACUGACGCUGAGGAGCGAAAGCGUGGGGAGCGAACAUGAUUAGAUACCCUGGUAGUCCACGCCGUACACGAUGAGUGCUAAGUGUUAGGGGGUUUCCGCCCCUUAAUUGCUGCAGCUAACGCAUUAAGCACUCCGCCUGGGGAGUACGGUCGCAAGACUGAACUAAAAAUGAAUUGACGGGAUCUGAUAUACACUAUAUAUA
rnacentral:rRNA from 1 species